rnacentral:rRNA from 1 species
UAGCGUUGUUCGGAAUUACUGGGCGUAAAGGGCGUGUAGGCGGGCUGUCAAGUCAGAUGUGAAAUUCCCGGGCUUAACCUGGGCGCUGCAUUUGAAACUGAUGGUCUUGAGUGCUGGAGAGGAAAGCGGAAUUCCUAGUGUAGCGGUGAAAUGCGUAGAUAUUAGGAGGAACACCAGUGGCGAAGGCGGCUUACUGGACUGUAACUGACGCUGAGGUGCGAAAGCGUGGGGAGC